rnacentral:rRNA from 1 species
CCAUCAGCGCCCGGGUACUACGAGCCUAAGCUUAAAACCCAAAGGACUUGACGGUGUCCCAUCCAUCUAGAGGAGCCUGUUCUAUAAUCGAUACCCCCCGCUUCACCUCACCAUUUUUAGCCUAUCAGCCUGUAUACCUCCGUCGCAAGCUUACCAUGUGAACGCCCCCAGUAAGCCUAAUGGUCCCUCACCAACACGUCAGGUCAAGGUGCAGCUCAUAAAAUGGGAAGCAAUGGGCUACAGUUUCUAAUGUAGAACAAACGGAAAAACUACAUGAAACAUAGUCAUGAAGGCGGAUUUAGUAGUAAAAAGAAAAUAGCGUGUUCUUUUUAACUAGGCACUGGGACGCGUACACACCGCCCGUCACCCUC